UAUUAAAAAUUUUAUUCAUUAUUACCGUUAAAAUUGACGUGGCUGAUAGAAUAAUUAAAUAGUAACUUGUGGCAUGCCACAUGAACCUCUUACAAAGACUAGUUUUUAAUAGUAGAAAUAAAUAUAAUUUUUAAUA
rnacentral:pre_miRNA from 1 species